CAGCCGCCGCGGUAAUACGUAGGGGGCAAGCGUUGUCCGGAAUUAUUGGGCGUAAAGCGCGCGCAGGCGGUCCCUUAAGUCUGAUGUGAAAGCCCACGGCUCAACCGUGGAGGGUCAUUGGAAACUGGGGGACUUGAGUGCAGAAGAGGAGAGCGGAAUUCCACGUGUAGCGGUGAAAUGCGUAGAGAUGUGGAGGAACACCAGUGGCGAAGGCGGCUCUCUGGUCUGUAACUGACGCUGAGGCGCGAAAGCGUGGGGAGCAAACAGGAUUAGAUACCCUGGUAGUCCACGCCGUAAACGAUGAGUGCUAAGUGUUAGAGGGGUUAAACCCUUUAGUGCUGUAGCUAACGCGUUAAGCACUCCGCCUGGGGAGUACGGCCGCAAGGCUGAAACUUAAAGGAAUUGGCGGG
rnacentral:rRNA from 1 species